UUUUGUGGAAGAUGGUGAAAAUCACCGUUAUCUUUAUACUUUUGGCUGUGCCAUCAAAUGCCUGUUUUGAAUGUAAAUACCACUGCAAAUGAAGGCUCUGAAACUGAAGGUGUAUUUAUGUUUGGCCAAUAGGUCCAAAAUUAUGUUGGUGAGAUCAGACAGAAAGAUGGAGAGGCAGCCAGCCUCCUGUGGCCCAUGAGGUUAAGGAUGGAGCUGGAAACAGAAAGGAACGGGAAAUGGAGGCAGUUGGGAGUUCCAGCAAUAGAAAGCCUCCAGCCGAGCAGCAGGAAGGAAAGGAAGAGCUGGGGCUCAGUCACUCAGACCCACGUGCCGAGGUUGUUUCUCUCAAAACCUCACUGCCUGUUAUGCCACUGCUGAGAUCAUGUAAGUCCACGUACCUUUGCCCACCUCAGAAUUCAUUUUUCUACCAAGAGCAAACCUCGGGAAAAAUAUCUUGCGUUGUUUUUGUUGAUCUUUUAAAUCAUUUAGUUGCCAGAAAAGCUCACCUGCACCAAACUAAUUGCAUAAUAUCACAUCCAUAGCAGAGAAAG